GCAGGGGUAGCGAAGCGGUCAAACGUGCCAGGCUUAGGGAAGCCAAAAAGUCGCUUUCAGCGACCUGGUGGCUUAGUGCCUUCGGGGGUUCGAAUCCUCCCCCCUGCA
rnacentral:tRNA from 1 species